rnacentral:rRNA from 1 species
AGCAGCCGCGGUAAUUCCAGCUCCAAUAGCGUAUAUUAAAGUUGCUGCAGUUAAAAAGCUCGUAGUUGAAUUUCGGGAUCAAUAUGUUGGUCGUGCCUCGGUACGUACUAGCUUAUUGGUUUCUCCCUUCUGACGAACCAUGAUGUCAUUUAUUUGGUGUUAUGGGAAAUCAGGACUGUUACUUUGAAAAAUUAGAGUGUUUAAAGCAGGCUCACGCUUGAAUACAUUAGCAUGGAAUAAUGAAAUAGGACGUUUGAUUCUAUUUUGUUGGUUUCUAGGAUCGACGUAAUGAUUAAUAGGGAUAGUUGGGGGCAUUAGUAUUCAAUUGUCAGAGGUGAAAUUCUUGGAUUUAUUGAAGACUAACUACUGCGAAAGCAUUUGCCAAGGAUGUUUUCAUUAAUCAAGAACGAAAGUUAGGGGAUCGAAGACGAUCAGAUACCGUCGUAGUCUUAACCAUAAACUAUGCCGACUAGGGAUCGGAUGAUGUUAAUUUUUAAUGUA